rnacentral:rRNA from 1 species
UACGAAGGGGGCUAGCGUUGCUCGGAAUUACUGGGCGUAAAGGGCGCGUAGGCGGCCCUGUUAGUCAGGCGUGAAAUUCCUGGGCUUAACCUGGGGGCUGCAUUUGAUACGUGGUUGCUUGAGUGGGGAAGAGGGUCGUGGAAUUCCCAGUGUAGAGGUGAAAUUCGUAGAUAUUGGGAAGAACACCGAUGGCGAAGGCAGCCAUCUGGACCGACACUGACGCUGAGGCGCGAAAGCGUGGGGAGCAAACAGG